UAACACAAUAACUAGGUUUGAGUGUCAUAUUGCUUUAAGACAGUUUACAAUGUUUUUAUAUUUCUUCAAAUGCUUUCAUCUGACAUCAUCACUGUCAUUUUAAGACUGUAGAAGUGAUUUUGAUUGGUGGCCAUCAAAUGAAAAAGCGACAUGUCUCAUUAAAUAUCGAGCAUUUAGUAAAUAUUCCAAAGAUGUCUGAAGCAUUCUGAGGCUGUCUGAAAAAUAUACUGAAGAUUAUUAAAAGUUCAAUUCUCCACUAAUGAACCAACUGCUAUCAUCAACCCAAC